rnacentral:rRNA from 1 species
AUGCCCGUCACAGACAUUUUGAUUGCCGCACAGUCACGCGCGGCCCUCUCCUUCUCCCACUUGUUUCCCAGCACCUGCCAAUUCUUCUUUGGCACGGUCGCUUUUCCGUCCGCUCCCCCACUUUGCUCAUCGUCGUCAACCAACCCAAUAGAUUGUUGGGAGCUUGAGCCAUUGUUGAGCUUAAUGGCGAGUUGUGACUUAGGUUUCCCAUUCAGUUUCAACCAACAACAGGGCAAAGUGAAUGGCUUGCCCUUGGUUUGGUUGAACAAAUUGGAUCCAUGCUUGUGGCCAACCAAGAUUCACACCAUACAUCUUCAUGGCUUGUGA